rnacentral:tRNA from 1 species
ACCGCGAUAGCUCAGCUGGCAGAGUAUCUGCCCAGUAUAUGCGGAGGGUCGCCGGUUCGAUUCCGGCUCGCGGCG